rfam:Triticum aestivum genome assembly, contig: Triticum_aestivum_CS42_TGACv1_scaffold_221584_3B
CCAGUACUCCCUCCUUCUGGAAAUACUUGUCAUUGAAAUGGAUGUAUCUAGGUGUAUUUUAGUUCUAGAUACAUCAAUUUUCAUCUAUUUUAAUGACAAGUAAUUCCGGACGGAGGGAGUAGUAA